GACGAACGCUGGCGGCGUGCUUAACACAUGCAAGUCGAACGGAGUGGCGAACGGGUGAGUAACACGAGGGUGCUCUGCCUUGCACUUCGGGAUAAGCUUGGGACACUGGGUCUAAUACCGGAUAGUGCAAGAUAAGCUCUCGGCCUAUCGGCUUGUUGUUGGGGUAAUGGCCUACCAAGGCGUCGACGGGUAGCCGGCCUGAGAGGGUGUACGGCCACAUUGGGACUGAGAUACGGGCCAGACUCCUACGUGCGGCAGCAGUGGGGAAUAUUGCACAAUGGGCGGAAGCCUGAUGCAGCGACGACGCGUGGGGGAUGAAGGCCUUCGGGUUGUAAACUCCUUUCGACAGGGACGCGGUACCUGUAUAAGAAGCACCGGCUAACUACGUGCCAGCAGCCGCGGUAAUUC
rnacentral:rRNA from 1 species